rnacentral:lncRNA from 1 species
GCAGUGGGAAGUUUUAUUGUUCCUCUUUCAGAAGCAGAUCAAGUAGACAAAAAUCAAGAUUUUGCAUAUAGAUUUACACAAAACAGUCAACAAACUUGAUCCCAUGAACAUACAAAGGGCAUUGCAUCCAACAAUGGGAGAAUACAUAUUUAUAAGAGUACAUGAACUAUUAAAUUUGACCAUAUAUUUGAUUAUAAACCCAUUUCAGCAAAUUUUAAGCUAUUUGAAUAAUACAGAACACCUUCUCUCACCACAAUUCAAUUAAAUUAGGAGAAAAGCUAAUAUCCACACAUCUGUAAUUUUGAAAAUCUCUCUAGAGACUUCCACUUCUAAAUAGGAUAUAGUAGGUCAUGGCAGCCUAAAACUUUGCCUGCAACAACUAGAAAAAGAUGGAAAAAUUAUAAAGAUCAUAUUUAAAGAUAUGUGAGAGCUAUGAAAGCAAUAAGGACUAGGUGAAUGGGAAUUCCAGAGAGGGAGGAGUCCUCCUGAGGUAAGUGGCCAUUUUAUUUUCUAGGGACAUUUACUGAUUCUGGACAUGGACUAAUAAGGAUCAAGCUUGGUCUGUGAAGAGGGUCUCUCCUGAGGGAAAGGGAAACCCAGAAAAGCUUUUGGUGGUCACGUGGGGCUGGUGCAACAAAUUGGAAAAUUAAGAACUUUGGCCAGUUUCUUCUACGUGUUAUAAGUUGGGUUCCUCAGGAAAUAGACACUGAAUCUGAGAUUCGCAUCCAGAGGAUUACUGGGGUGUCUUCUCAGAGAACAUCUAUGGGGGAGCAAGAGAAACAGGAUAGGGCAUAAGAAGUUGAAUGGUGAUACAUAGCAGUUGCAACAGUAGCCUCAGCCAGUCUCAUAGGGAGCUCUGAGGAUGGGAUGGCUAUUUAGAGAUGUUCUCAAUUGAGGCUAGGAAUCUGGCCUUUGGGCCCUUGAAUCAACCAGUCAUUGCCUGUAGGCUUCCCUUGGGGAUGAUGGCAUAAUCUUGGGUGAAGCAUUCACCUUCAGUCGAGGGCAAUUCCUAGAGAGCGAUGCAGCUGGUGGCCCUCAGCUGACAAUGGCAUCUGGAGGAAUGAGUGUUUCAGACCCAAGGCAGGAUCUAGGUGGUGCAACCACAGCAUCCACUCUCUUAAAUGACACUUGCUGAAUACUGGGGCUAUGUAUGGGAGGCUGGGGAGUUAGAGUGAAGACUUACAAGGCAAGGGAACUCUCCCUUAAUCUAAUAGUGCUUAGGAGACAAAGUUCUCCACAUUCUUACCAACAGAUCUUUUUUUUUUAUUAUAGCCAUUCUGGUGAGUGUUGUUAUGCCAUUGUGGUUUUAAUUUUCUUAUUACUAAUAAUGUUAAACAUUUUUCAUGUGCUUGUUAGCCAUUCACCUAUCUUUUUGGAUAAAAUGCUGAUUUAAAUAUUUUUCUCAUUUUAAAAUUUGAAUUGUCAUCUUCUUAUUAAGUUGAAGUAGUUCUUUAUAUAUUCCGGAUCCAGUGUCUUCGUCAGAUAUAUGAUUUGCAAUUAUUUUCUCCCAGUCUGCUGCUUGUCUUUUUCCCUCCCAAAAAAAAGUGUUUCAAAGUGCAAAAUUUUAAAUUUUGAUGAAGUACAAUUUAUUUCUUUUAUGAAUCAUGCUUUUAAAGUUGUAUCUCAGAACUCUCCUCAACCUAAGUCAUAAAGAUAUUCUGCUAUAUUUUAUCUUAGAAAUUUUACAGUUUUAGCUCUCACAUUUAGGUCUGUGAUCCAUUUCAGGUUGAUUUUUGUUUGGUUUGAGAUGUGUAAAGGUUAAUUUUUGUGUUUAGUGUGAGGUGUCUAAGUUAACUUUUUUUUGCAUGUGGAUAUUCAAUUGUUUCAGCACAAUUUGUUCAAAAGACUCUCUUUCCCCCAAUGAAUUACCUUAGUAAUUUUGAUUAAAUUAGUAAAUUUGAUUAAAAUUGAUGAUCAAUUUGCCAUAAAGGUAAAAACUUAUUUGUGAACUCUCAGUUCUGCUUCAUUUAUUUAUAUGACCACACAGUCCUUUUUUGGUAUAAAUUUAAGUAAAUUCUUAUCCCUCACUCUUCUUCCACUCUCCCACCCUUCCAGGUCUCCAGUGAGAUUCCACAUUCUUUGUUCAUGUGUACACAUUAUUUAGUUCCCACUUAUGAGAACAUAUGGCAUUUCACUUUCUGAAUUAUUUCACUUAAGGGCCUCCAGUUCUAUUUAUGUUGCUGCAAAACACAUGAUUUUAUUCCUUUUAUGGCUGAAUAGUAUUCCAUUGCACAUAUAUAUUCAUUUUCUUAUCCAUUUUCUUUAUCCAGCCAUCGACUGAUGGAAACUUAGAUUAAUUUCAUGUCUUUGCUAUUGGACCACACAGCCUUGAUCAUUGUAUAUUUAUAGUAGGUUCUUGACAUUGAAUAGGGCACUUUGUUCUUCUUUAUAAUUUUUUUGACUCUUUGAGAUCCUUUACAUUACCAUAAACAUUUUAGAAUCAGCCUGUAAGUUUCCACCAAAAAACCCUACAAUGGUUUUGAUAGGUAUAGUGUUCACUUUAUAGAUUUGAAUAUAAUUGCAAUUUUGACAAUAUUGAGUCUUCAAAUCCAUGAACAAAGAAUCUCUCUCAAUUUAUUUAGAUCUUUAAUUUCUAUCAGCAAUGUUUUGUAGUUUUUGGUAUACUAUACUUGCACUUCUAAAAUUUAUUUCUAAGUAUCUUUUCUUUUUGAUGCAGUUGUAAAUGAAAUUGUUUUCUUAAUUUUAUUUUUAGAUCAUUUGCUGCCAGCAUAUAGAAAUAAUGUUGACCUUGUAUUUGGUGACCUUUCAAAACUAAUUUAUUAGUUCCAGUAGACAGAGAGAGAGAGAGAGGAGAGAGAGAAUGAAUGAAUGAAUGAAUGUGUAUGUGUUCUUUAGUGUUUUUUACAUGCAGGAUUAGGUCAUCUGUGAAUCAAGGCAGUAUUACUCUUUCUUUCCAAUCUUGACACCUUUAGCUUCUCUUUCUUGCUUCAUUGCACUGGCUAAACACCCUCCGUGUUGACUAGAAGUGGUAAAAACAACGUCCUUGCCUUGUUCCAGAUCUUAGGGAGAAAGUAUUCAUUCUUUUACCAUUAAAUAUGAUGUUAUCUUUGGCUCUUUAUAGAUGUCCUUCGUUAGGUUGAAGAUGUUCUUUUCUAUUUCUACUUUGUUUAGGGUUUUUUCAUAAAUGGGCGUUGGUUUUUUUCAAAUGCUUUCUUCGUAUCUAUUGGCAUGAUCAUAUGAUUUUUUUGUCUUUCAUUCUAUUAAUGUAAUUGAACAACCAUAUUGAACAAUUUUUGAAUGUUAAAAAACUACGUUUCUGAGGAUAAAGCCCACUUGUUUGUUGUAUGUAAUUUUUAAAUUUCAUGUUGCUGAAUUUGGUUUGCUAAUAUUUUGUUUAGGAUUUUUUCAUCUAUAUUCAUGAAGGAUAUUGGCCUGUACUUUUCUUGUGAUAUGUUUAUCUGGCUUUGAUAUGGCAAUACUAGUAUCAUAGAAUGAUUUGGGAAGUGUUCCCUCCCCUAUUUUCUGAAAGAGUUUCUGCAUAAUUGGUGUUAUUACUUAAGUAUUUGAUAAAUUCCAACCAAUGAAGCCACCUGGACCUGGUUUUUCUUGGGGGAAAGAUUUUUUAAUUACUAAUUUCUUUACUUAUUAUAGGUAUAUUGAUUUGUGCUCUAAUCUUUGCUUGCUUUGAAUUUUGUUUGCUUUCCCCCACCCCCAUUUUCUUAAGGAGGAAGUUUAAAUUAUUGACUUGAGACUUUUUUUCUUUCCUUUCUCUCUUUCUUUCUCUUCUGAUAUAGGAAUUUGCAUUAGUCAGGGUACUCCAGAGAAACAGAACCAAUAAGAUCUUUCUCUCUCUCUCUCUGUUGAUUUAUUAUAAGGAACUGGCUUGGCUCACAUGAUUAUGGAAGCUGUCAAAUUCUAAGAUCUACAGGGUGAGUCAGCAAGCUGGAGAUCUAGGAGAGAUGAUGGUAUAGUUCCUGUCUAAAGGCAGGAAAAAGCCAAUAUCCCAGUUAGAAAGGCAUCAGGUAGGAGUAAGUCUCUCUUACUCAAGGGAGGGCGAAUCCAUUUUUUCUAUUCAGGCCUUCAACUAAUUGGAUGAAGGCAAUUAGUGGAGGGCAAUCUACUUUACUUAGUUUAAUGAUUUAAAUGUUACUCUCAUCCAAAGAUACCCUCACAGCAACACCCAGAAUAACAUUUGAUCAAAUUUCUGGGCACCCUGUGGUGCCGUAAAAUUAACCGUGACAACAUUUAAAGCUAUAAAGUUUCUCUCUAAACACUGCUUUAGCUACAUCUUAUUAAUUUUGAUAUGAUUUUAAAAAUUCAGUUCAACAUAUAUAACUUGGCUUGUGAUUUCUUCUUUGAUCUAUGGGUUAUUUUGAAAUGUACUGUUUUCCAAUAUUUUGGAAUUUCCCAUAGUUUUCUGUUUAUUGAUUUCUAAUUUAGUUAUUAAUUCUGUUACUCUAUAGAGCCAAUUGCAUUUGAAUUCCAAGGAUGAAUGCCGUUUCCAGGCAGAAAGCUAGAGUGAACUAAAAUUUAAUCAGUAAAGAGAAAAAAAGGGAAGGGAAGGACUUCCCAGAAGGAGAGACCAAGCAUGGAUAGUAUCAGCACAGGCUUGAAAGCACAUGUGCUUAGGGCUGGCAAGAUGUUCAGUGUGGCUGGAACAAAGGAAGUGUAAUUUGUGUCUUCUUUGUUUUUGUCUUGGUUAGUAUAGCUAAAGUUUGUUAAUUUAUUUGAUCUUUUCAAAGAACCUAUUUUGCUUUCAUUUGUUUUCUCUACUAUUGUUUUUCUUUUCUACUAUAUUGAUUAUAAAGGAUAUGUAGCAGCGAUACAGAGGAAAUUGUGGGACAUGAUGUAAAAAGGUAGUGUCAAAAACUCCAUGGUGUUCAGAUUCCAGCUUCACUCUUCAAACUCUCUUCUGAAUAGUUUUUCAUUCUCUAUGAUCCCAAGGAUCAUAGAGGAGGGAUGUUUUCUCAGGAUAUUCUUGGCUGAGCACCAGCACCAAGGAAGCAGUUCUUGGAAGAAUAAGACCUGAGCAAGAAGUGAGUGGUAUCUCUGCUAAUUACUCUUCUAGAAGUCUAAUAGUCCAUCUAGCCUGUCCUUGAGAGUUGGUCAUAUAGGACCUAUUCGUUGCUGGCAGUGGAGAUCCUGAGGCUGAGGUAGCAGCAGGAGUAGGACCCUAAGCAUGAUUUAUUGAUUCCUUGAUUAUACAAUGAAAUUAGAGGCAGGAAGCUGCCAUCUCCACAUGUCUUAACAUCUUAGCAGUAUCUAAUUUCAGGGGGCUGCAAGCUCUCUCCUGCCCCCACCCCUAUGAUAUGGGCUCUGCUGAACAUGAGAGAGAUGAAGGCUAGCACUGAACUUGGUCUAAGAAACACCCAGGAUGGACUGAUAUUACUCACUAAGAAAACUGCUUUGUGUUGCUCAACUACUUCAGAGAGUGAAGGAUGGAAGCCAGAGUGUGUUCCAGAGCCAGGAAAAUGAAAUCAAGUCUUCCCUAGAUCUCCCUAUGGUGCUGUUCCUCUCACUGCCUCUCUUCCUCCUCACUGCUUGGCAGGCUGACCCUCCCCACCCACAUUUCUCUGGUUUUCCUUUUAGAAAAAAGAAUGUCUAAGACUCAACAACCCACAGGGCAGUGACCUGAAUAGUUAGCGAGCUGCCGUUAGCCACUCAGCCUUCACACACUGCCGAGACUUGAAGGGUGUGUAUGGCUGACAUGGACUAAACUCCCUGAUGGGUGGGCUGUGCUUUCUGGCUAGUGGCUGUGCUCACAUUCUUCAUCUCCCCAUGACUCCCACCCAUCUUUUCCUCUUGGGACUCAGUGUAAACACUGCUCUCCCUGAAGCCUUCUCUUACAUUUCCAUAGGAAGUAUCCUCUCCCUUUUCUGACUGCCCUCAGUUUUUAUCUGUUCUUUCAUGAACUUACCACUUUCUCCCUUAUGGCAAAAUGAAUUGUGUCCAAUCUCCUCCACUAGAUCCCGAGCUCUGUAAAGGCAGGAUUCUAGAUGAGAUUCUGCAUUUCCCACAAGGCCUGGCCAGUAGUUGGUGAUUAAUGGUUGAAGAAAUGCUUAGGAAGGAACUCAGAGGAGGGUUCAGAAAAGUGAACUCCCAGGGCCUUCAGAGACAAGGCUUUUA